rnacentral:lncRNA from 1 species
GGCCUCCCCCUUUUAUUUGUUCAUUCUAAAGAUAAGCAUAUGUCUAUUCCAUUUAUUUGUUAUUCGUUAAAUAAGUUUGAAAUUUAAAAACAAAAUUAUCAAGAAAACUUUAAUUUGUAUCAUAUAAUCCUUUACUAUUAAACGUUAAAAGUUGUUUAAAAUAAACAAAUUAUAAGCCAUACCAAACCUUUAAAUCCUUAAGAUAC